UAGGGAAUAUUAGAAAUGGACGAAAGUCUGAUCUAGCAACACCGCGUGUGCGAAGAAGGCCUUCGGGUUGUAAAGCACUUUUUGGAAGGAUUAGGAAGGAAUGUACUUCCAGAAUAAGUCUCGGCUAACUACGUGCCAGCAGCCGCGGUAACACGUAGGAGGCAAACGUUAUCCGGAUUUACUGGGCGUAAAGCGCGUGUAGGUGGUUCUGUAAGUAGGGCGUGAAAGCUCCUGGCUCAACUGGGAGAGGCCGUUCUAAACUGCAGAGCUAGAGGAUGGUAGAGGGAGGUGGAAUUCCGGGUGUAGCGGUGGAAUGCGCAGAUAUCCGGAGGAACACCAGUGGCGAAGGCGUCUCACCAGAACGGACCUGACGGCAAGGGACGAAAGCUAGGGGCACGAACC
rnacentral:rRNA from 1 species